rnacentral:rRNA from 1 species
UCUUAGUUCGUGGAGUGAUCUGUCUGCUUAAUUGCGUUUCAAAUUUUAUAUUUGUUAACAUGCGAGUCUUCAAUGACGGCCACUCCACCUUAUAGACAUUAUAUGAUAUGCACAUUUGUGUAUUUGAUUAUAACUUGUCUGGAGUCUGGCUCGAUUUUUUUGACUCAAUUGAACGCAACGGACGUGAUUGCAAGUCCUUGUUGAACAAAUUAUAUAUAUACUACUUCAUCAUUAGUAUAUAUAGUUCGCUUCUCAUGUCGUAGCAGUCAAACGGGCGGGCGUCUUAAUUGGCGCGGUCACGAGGCUUAAUAUGCUGCGGCUGGGAAAACUUGGGCGACCGCUGUAAUACUUCUCUCUUAAACCAGAGGAAGAUUGCGGCAAUAACAGGUCUGUGAUGCCCUCAGAUGUCCCGGGCCGCACACGUGCUACAUUGAUUAGCGCAGUGCGCAUACUUACAUAUAGAUCAUUGAUUGGUUAUUUAUAACCGUCAAUAUCGCCUUGUCUGAAAGGACUAGGUAAUCUAUUGUAAGUGCUGGUUCCUCCUCCCGUUGAGCAUUUUAAUAAUGGUCUCUCUACAUCCCUAGCACAUGAUGUCUAGUGCGAUUGUAGUUGAGUUCUGCCAUUUAUGCAAGUGUCAAUUCUCAG